rnacentral:tmRNA from 1 species
GGGGCUGACUUGGAUUUCGACAGAUUUCUUGUCGCACAGAUAGCAUGCCAAGCGCUGCUUGUAAAACAGCAACAAAAAUAACUGUAAACAACGCAGAUUACGCUCCAGCUUACGCUAAAGCUGCGUGAGUUAAUCUCCUUUUGGAGCUGGACUGAUUAGAAUUUCUAGCGUUUUAAUCACUCCAUAACCUUAAGCUAGACGCUUUUAAAAGGUGGUUCGCCUUUUAAACUAAGAAAAAGAACUCUUGAAACUACCUCAAGGUUUUAGAAAGUUGGACCAGAGCUAGUUUUAAGGCUAAAAACUAACCAAUUUUCUAAGCAUUGUAGAAGUUUGUGUUUAGGGCAAGAUUUUUGGACUGGGGUUCGAUUCCCCACAGCUCCACCA